GUUUUCUCGCUUUUGCUUUGAAUGAGCGGAGAAAUCUCGGUUUUUUUAUUACACACAUUGAUAUUGCAAAUCUGCAAUCUGUCAUUAAGUUCUUCAAUAUUCCUUUCAGUGUUUUGUCCGUCACACUGCUCCUUCUGUAAGUUCAGUGGCCACAUUUCAAACACGAAUAUACUGGCAAGGAGUGCAUACUCCAUUAUCAUCGGAUCAACAAUUACUCUGGAUCUCCAAUACACUUUAGAGAUUAAUGUUGAAUUACAAUUACAGUCACUUAUAUUUGGCUCGAAGUAAUAGUCCCUCGUGAUGUAGUAUCCGGUAACAGUAUAAUAAGUCCAGACAGCAACGUUGGUUACCAAGAUGAAGCUUACGGUGUAGAAUAUAACAAUACUGUUUUUAAGUACAAACUUAUACAUUAUCCGUAUAAAAGCUGUCUGAGUUAGAAAAAAUAAGAUAAGUGCAGUGUGUGCUGCUAAAUUAUUAUCAAGAUCAACGUGAGGUGGAGAACACUCUCUCCUGUAAAUAUACGCAAUAAUUUGAUAUGCUAUUCCACCAACUCCGAAAAGGUAAAGAAAUUUCAGUUUUAACCAGGCUGUGUUGUCCCGUUUAUACAAUGUAUCGCUUCCAUUUCUUGUUAUUCUUUUUGUAUUUAUAUAAAUGAUCACCAUGCACGCUAAAAAUG
rnacentral:lncRNA from 1 species